rnacentral:rRNA from 1 species
GAUGAACGCUAGCGGCAGGCUUAAUACAUGCAAGUCGUGGGGCAGCAGGUCCGUAGCAAUACGGAUGCUGGCGACCGGCAAACGGGUGCGUAACACGUACGCAACCUUCCUUCAGGCGGGGAAUAGCCCGGGGAAACCCGGAUUAAUACCCCAUAAUAUUUUGAGAUGGCAUCAUCUUAUUAUUAAAGCUUCGGCACCUGAUGAUGGGCGUGCGGCUGAUUAGGUAGUUGGCGGGGUAACGGCCCACCAAGCCUACGAUCAGUAGCUGAUGUGAGAG